GCCUGAUCCAGCCAUGCCGCGUGCAGGAUGACGGCCUUAUGGAUUGUAAACUGCUUUUAUACAGGAAGAAACACCUCUACGAGUAAAGACUUGACGGUACUGUAAGAAUAAGGAUCGGCUAACUCCGUGCCAGCAGCCGCGGUAAUACGAUACG
rnacentral:rRNA from 1 species